AUUGAACGCUGGCGGCAGGCUUAACACAUGCAAGUCGAGCGGAGAUGAGGUGCUUGCACCUUAUCUUAGCGGCGGACGGGUGAGUAAUGCUUAGGAAUCUGCCUAUUAGCGGGGGACAACAUUCCGAAAGGAAUGCUAAUACCGCAUACGUCCGACGUGAGAAAGCAGGGGAUAUUCGGACCUUGUGCUAUCAGUUGAGCCUCAGUCGGAUUAGCUAGUUGGGGGGGUAAAGGCCUACCAAGGCGCGGAUCUGUAGCGGGUCUGAGAGGAUCAUCCGCCACACUGGGACUGAGACACGGCCCAGACUCCUACGGGAGGCAGCAGUGGGGAAUAUUGGACAAUGGGGGGAACCCUGAUCCAGCCAUGCCGCGUGUGUGAAGAAGGCCUUAUGGUUGUAAAGCACUUUAAGCGAGGAGGAGGCUACUGAGACUAAUACUCUUGGAUAGUGGACGUUACUCGCAGAAUAAGCACCGGCUAACUCUGUGCCAGCCGCCGCCGUAA
rnacentral:rRNA from 1 species